rnacentral:tRNA from 1 species
GGACGCGUAGCUCAGUGGUAGAGCACCGCCCUCACACGGCGGGGGUCCCAAGUUCGAAACUUGGCGCGUCCACCA